GACAAUGUAUCUCGAUAUUAUACCCCUCCCACUGCCUCCUCGGCCUUCGCAUAAACACAUCUGCGUUUUGGCCGAAGUCUCUUGAGGGAAAUGCAGGGAAGUACAAAUUUCCGGCUGUUUUCUUGGCAUAGGUUAGUGCAUUUUCUAAAUCUGCCACUGUCCAAAGUUCCCCCUUUUGCGUCUUGGGUACUCGUAGGGUUGCGAGAGUCGACGAGUUAGGGGCACUGUUUUGUAUACAAUGCUGAAGAGCCUCCAAGAUUUCUCUCCACAACCAGGGAGGGGGGAGGGGGUGGAUUUAAUUGUAUUUCCAAAUGCAGUCUGCAAAAGAAGUUAACCAAGUGCGUUCAUCUCUCUCUGCGUGCAUGUAGCAACGGUUAGAUGGACGAAGCUGUCUGCCUGUCUCACCAUCGCUCGCUCUCUUGUCUCAAACAAAACGCUUAGAAACUGCACCCCCGACCCCCCACAACCGCAGAGGAAGAUGGAAUGCAAAGGAUAACAAAAAAAAGUCAAGGCAGCUGACCAUUGGGGAUGGAAAGUUUGUGGAUGGUCUGGCUGUUAUUUCUUUGUUUGAUCUGCUCUGCUGAAUCAUUCUGUCCCUCGCAAUGUGAGUGCCAGCUCCAGAACCUGCUGUGUACAAACCGAGGUCUCCGCACGGUUCCGGAAAGCCAGCAGAAUGCUGCGGACAUCCUGACUUACAGCUUAGGGGGCAACUUUAUCAGCAACAUCUCCGACUUGGACUUCCCGCAUUUCACCGGGCUGCUCCGGCUGGAUUUACAGUACAACAAAAUCGAGUACAUUCAUCCCAAAACUUUCGAGAAACUUAGCAGACUGGAGGAACUCUACUUGGGCAAUAACAUCAUCUCUAUCAUCCCUGUCAAUGCUUUCCAUUAUCUCCGCAGACUGAGGCUUUUAAAUAUGAAUAACAACUGCCUGAAGAAGCUGAAUCCAAAUGUCUUUUCACAUCUAGGUAACUUAGUGAGGCUCAGACUGGACGGCAAUUCUCUGAAGAUUUUGCAAGAUGCAGUUUUUAAACAUUUGGGGAACCUCCUUUACCUGCAGCUGGAGUCCAACCAGAUCCACACCAUCAGUGGGAAUACUUUUAUAAACUUAAGGAAGUUGACAUAUUUAAACCUUGCCAAGAAUAACCAGACCUCCUUACAAAACAGGGCCGUGUUUGCCCAUCUCAGGUCACUGAUCACUUUAAUCCUGGCCGAGAACAAUAUCAAGUAUAUCGGAAACCGAGUGUUCCAAAUGCAGCAGAAACUUACCAGGCUGUCUCUGAGCCAGAACAAAAUCUCUCAUAUCGCAACCGAAGCCUUUGGAGGCCUGGGUGGGCUAAAGGAGCUGCUCAUUAAUGGUAACCUACUGAGAGAAAUCCCAGAUAAACUGCUGGACCCUUUGCAAAAGCUGGAACAGUUAGAUCUCAGCCAGAACCAUAUCAGCAGUGUGCACCCACAAGCGUUUAAAGAGCUAGCAGCUCUCAAGGUAUUAAAACUGAAGAGCAAUCACCUGACCUACCUACCUGGGGAUGUGUUUGCGUUCAGCAACUCCCUCUAUAGCCUUGAUCUGAGUGAUAAUAACUGGACGUGCAACUGCCGCCUCAAAGGUUUAAAGCGGUGGAUGAGCUUGGCGCACGGUCAAGGAAGGCUGCUCACCAUCUUUGUUCAGUGUAAUGACCCCCCUGUGUUGAAUGGAAGGUAUCUCGAUUAUCUGACAGAUUCAGAGAUGCAAGCAGCAGGCAGGGCUGACCUGUGUCACUCUCAGAAGGCACAGCCUUUGACGAACCGUUCCCAAGGCGCUCCAGAUGGCGUUGUACUGUCCCCGGUGCAGGUCAAUGUACAGUCGGAUCAGGAGCGGUUCCUGCAGCCAGGCAAAACGCAGACUGAAAGAACCAUGCGCCAGCAAGAAGCUGACACCCGGCAGAAAGCACCUUCUUUAGCGACAACGGUGUCCAACCUGUUGCCUGAAAGUAAGCAUGUCGUUCUCCCGCCUAAACCAACCAAAACAUUUACAACCAGCCCGAGCUUGGGAAGUGUUGGAGAAGCUCCGCAGUCCCAGACUGUGACACGAGACACCUUAGAAGUCUCUACUUACACGACUGUCCUGGUUUCAUCCAAGUCAGAGCGUUAUUAUCUCCUCAAAUCUAAGGACAAGUUAGUGCAGAAACCACUGAUAACAGAUCCAUGUGAGUUUAAUAAGCUCUACAUUACCAACCUAACAGUGGAUGAGGUUACCUCAUCCACUGCCACGAUCAGAUGGAAGGUGGCACACCCUGGUUUCAGAAACCCUAUACAUUUUCGGGUGCUCUUUGACCGGUUUGGCCAAUCAGUGACAUUUCAUCGCUUCAUCUACGUCAAGGAUAGAUUGGAAUGGGUCACUCUGAGAGAACUGCAGGCAGAUACUCCUUAUAUUGUGUGCUUGGAAAGUGUCAUCUCUGACCAUGUGUGCCAAGUAGCUUCCCGCGAUCAUUGCCUGGGGGUCCUCACUUUGCCUCUGAAGAAAGGUGCCCUGGAUGUGCAGCAUUUUAUUUUGAUUUUAUCGGCUGCCAACGCUUUCCUGGUCUUCCUCGGCCUCACAAUCUGGAUGUCCCGAGUGCUGAGAAAACUGCGAAGGAAACGGGCCCCGGUCAACGUGAGGCGGAUGUACUCCACACGCCGCCCAUUGCGCUCCGUGGGCUCUGGGGUUUCAGCAGGGGACUGUGGAGGCUUCCAGUCCAACAGAUCGCGGUCAGUCAUGUAUCAACUGAAUGAGGCUGAUCUGAUGGAUUUCCAGUCAGAUCGGCUGAUGGACAUCAGUUUAAGGAGGGAAGACCUUGGACAACGGUAUGCUGACUAAUGCUCAUAGUCAAGUUUGCAUGUGGAUGUUAAAACAAAAGGGAAAUGACCUAAUGCCCUAUUACUGGGUUAAUGUAAUAACAAGAUCACUGAUUGACCAAAGGUUUGCUGUAGUUUAUGAUCCAAUCGUGUUAAAGUAGCAGUAGCAGUGUCUGUAACGUUCGUUUGAGGAAGUGUCAACGUUGAUAAAAUGCCUUUCAGAUACCCCAAAGCACUUCACAGCAAAGAAAGAUAACAGAGCCAAUUUGUGCACUACGACCAAAUAAGUAAUCAGAAAAUGGGUCGUGUCAUGAUUCUGUUUUGGGGAUAACUAUUGGCCAGGUCACAGAAGAAAUCCUUCUACACAGUGUCAUGAGAUCUUUUCCAUCCACUUAAGAGGGCAAACAUGAUCUCAUCUUAUGUUCUCAUCUGAGAAGUAGCAUCUCAGAUAAUAUUUGGAUCUCUAAUUACUGCACUGAGGCCUGAGGCAAAAUUUAUAGGCCCAAGUCUCUGGAACGGAGCUGAAAGCCACUAAUCUUUAUUUGAAGAAAGAGUGCUGCCCCUAUCCAGUCUGACAUUUUUGGAGUAAUAUUACCACACUUGGUUUGGUUUGUGCCCAAACUAGUCCAUUAAAUUAAAUCUAUGUGCCCAACUCUUUUUUUCAUUGCAUUUUGCCAAAGCUUAUUUUUCAUGAUAUACUGUAACCUCACCAGUCCACAAUACUUGAGACCAUUCAGUUCUGGAUAUUGGAAUUUUCUGGAUUAUGGGAAUGCCUAAACACAAGCUUGUGAAUCAGGAAAAAAAACUCUGGAUAUAAAUAGCGACUUGAAACAUAAAGCAUCAAUAACCAUUACAUUAAAAAAUUUACUUAUCCAAAUGUUACAAUUUCCAUGCUUCCACUUCCACAAUAUGGUACUAAAUGAUGCAAUGACCUUGAGAGAAUAUGUGGAUCUGCUCAAAAUAUUUGCAGACAACCAGUGAUUUCAAAUAAUAGAUUCCUGAACUGGAGAGAAUACAGUGGAAUAUAAAUGAUACAGGGAAACUUCAAUAGUUCCACUUUAGCAACAGAAAGAAUCCUACAGCACAGAAGAUGCCCAUUUGGUACAUCAUGUUUGUGCUGUUUGAAAAAGCGAUGCAAGUAGCCAGAAGUUACCAUUGAUUUUACUUCCAACUCUUUUUUUUCUGGUGAAUACAACUUGUGUGGAAAAAAAUCAUCCAUGGUUCUUCUGCAACUUACCUUGAAUCUCUGUCUUCUGGUUUCUGACCCUCUUGCUAUUAAAAACUGCCUUAACUUUUUCCAUCAAACUUUUCAUUAUUUUAAACUCUUCUGCUAAAUUGCCCAUGAUGAUUUUAAAGUGCUUGUAAUGGCUGUAUAAUGUUUUGAACCAUAAGGCAUUUUUGGUAGCACACAUUUCUUUCUUUAACAAAAUAUUACUAAUGUUGGAAAAUCUAAAAUAAAUCCAGAAAAUGCUGGAAAAACUCUACAAGCCUGGGAAUACCCUCAGGGAUAGAAAAUCAAAGUUCAUAUUUUAGUUUAAUGGCUUUUCAUCAGGUGAUUAGUUCAUCAACCUAAAUUAGUAACUCUGGUUCUCUCUCUGCAGAUGCUUUCAGAUCUGAUAAUAAUUUUCUGAUUUUAGUGAAGCAUAUCUUCCUUGCUUUUGAACAAAAAGUUUCUGUUUAUAAAGUCCAAGGAUUGCAUUUACUUCUUGGCAGUGUUACCAACUUAGAUGCAAUAUGUGUUUUGCAAAAAUUAGUGCUCAAUGCACAUCACCCAAUAUACCCUAAAUAAAAUUGCAGGGCUAGCUUUACCAAACAGUUUUCUCUGGGUGCUCUGGUUUCCUCGCACAGUCCAAAGAUGCUAGGUGGAUUGGAUGUGCUAAAUUGCCCAUCAUGUUCAGUGAUGCAUAGAUUGGGA